AUUGCCCUAGUAACGGCGAGUGAAGCGGCAACAGCUCAAAUUUGAAAGCUGGCUCCGGCCCGCAUUGUAAUUUGCAGAGGAUGCUUUUGGCGAGGUGCCUUCCGAGUUCCCUGGAACGGGACGCCAUAGAGGGUGAGAGCCCCGUAUGGAUGGACACCAAACCUGUGUAAAGCUCCUUCAACGAGUCGAGUAGUUUGGGAAUGCUGCUCUAAAUGGGAGGUAAAUCUCUUCUAAAGCUAAAUACCGGCCAGAGACCGAUAGCGCACAAGUAGAGUGAUCGAAAGAUGAAAAGCACCUUGAAAAGGGGGUUAAACAGUACGUGAAAUUGUUGAAAGGGAAGCAUUUAUGACCAGACUUGCGCCGGGCAGCUCAUCAGGGGUUCUCCCCUGUGCACUCUGCCCGGCUCAGGCCAGCAUCGGUUCUCGUGGGAGGAUAAGAACAGUGGGAACGUGGCCCCCCUCCGGGGGGGUGUUAUAGCCCAUUGUACGAUACUCUCGUGGGGACCGAGGUUCGCGCUCCGCAAGGAUGCUGGCGUAAUGGUCAUCAAUGACCCGUCUUGAAACACGGACCAAGGAGUCGUCCAUUAGAGCGAGCGUUUGGGUGUAAAACCCGCACGCGUAAUGAAAGUGAACGCAGGUGAGAGCUUCGGCGCAUCAUCGACCGAUCCUGAUGUCUUCGGAUGGAUUUGAGUAAGAGUUUUAACGGACGGACCCGAAAGACAGUGAACUAUGCUUGUAUAGGGUGAAGCCAGAGGAAACUCUGGUGGAGGCUCGCAGCGGUUCUGACGUGCAAAUCGAUCGUCAAAUAUGAGCAUGGGGGCGAAAGACUAAUCGAACUGUCUAGUAGCUGGUUACCGCCGAAGUUUCCCUCAGGAUAGCAGUGUUGUUCUUCAGUUUUAUGAGGUAAAGCGAAUGAUUAGGGACUCGGGGGCGCUUAUUAGCCUUCAUCCAUUCUCAAACUUUAAAUAUGUAAGAAGCCCUUGUUACUUAAUUGAACGUGGGCAUUCGAAUGUACCAACACUAGUGGGCCAUUUUUGGUAAGCAGAACUGGCGAUGCGGGAUGAACCGAACGCGGGGUUAAGGCGCCAGAGUGUACGCUCAUCAGACACCACAAAAGGCGUUAGUACAUCUUGACAGCAGGACGGUGGCCAUGGAAGUCGGAAUCCGCUAAGGACUGUGUAACAACUCACCUGCCGAAUGUACUAGCCCUGAAAAUGGAUGGCGCUCAAGCGUACCGCCCAUACCCCGCCCUCAGGGUAGAAACGAUGCCCUGAGGAGUAGGCGGCCGUGGGGGUCAGUGACGAAGCCUAGGGC
rnacentral:rRNA from 1 species